ACUUUCUCUACACUAACAGGGAGUCUCACAAUGCCUCGAAGAACCUGACUAGUAGGUAACAUAGCUCAUAACAUAGUGGUCAGAAUUAUGACCAGCUGGCCUUAUGGUUGUCAGAAAAAUAUGUCAUAUUCCUGUCAGUAAAAAUAAGUUUUUUUAAAAAGUCUUUAGUCAACCAGUUUGUGACUAGAUCCAAAAUUUCCCCCCAAAAAAGUUAUUCCAAGAACCCCAUAGGAGAGGGGGUUAAUCGAGGAACCCCUUUUGUUCCUCGAUGCCCAACAGAAAAAUGUGGAUUUGAAUUUGAGAAGACAGCAGGUGCAGGCACUUAACUGAAAAAUGUAAGGCUCUCCUCAUGUAGAGGACCAAGAGGCCCCUACAUUAUAAACAAGACUUCACCCUCCUUAUACCUCUGAUGACUAUAACACUGCAAAAUCAUUCUGGCUAUGGAUAGCCUACAGAGGACAUCAACAUGCCAGAGGAUAAAUCCAUUGUACUUGGGGCUUUGUUGGGAGUAUUUAGAUUUUUGAAUUCUGCUUUGCCACUAAAAUCAUAAUAAACAUUGAAAACUUAAAGAUUGUGUUAUUGCACCAAAUGGAACCUUUAAACUGCCUGCACUCAAAGCUCAUCUAUACACUGAGUGUACCAAACAUUAGGAACACCUUUCUAAUAUUGAGUUGCAACUCCCAGUUUGCCCUCAGAACAGUC